UGUCCGCCGCCCUUCCCUCACCAGCCGCGCACUUCGAAGUGUGAGAAAGAAAAGAAUUGUUCGCCUUAGCUUUCGCGAUGACGCAAGACCCAACGCGACGGUCGUUUGUACACCACAAUUACGCUGAAUGUAAUUAUAACGUGGGUGUAGCAGCGGCUGAAGCUCGGUCUCACGGCGAGGUAGUUCGAGAAUAAGGGCGUGUUGCUAGUGAUUGUGAAACGACUAUAUUCCAGGUAUAAGCUGUGGUGCCUUGAAAAGAUUGCGGCGUCGUUAGGAAAGUCCUCGUAUGUGGGUGAGCAGAGUAAGGCCAAUAUCGCCUAACAAGAUGUAAUCACUUCCUGUCUGAAAGACCGGCAGAUGUGGUACCAAUAAACAUGAUAUGUUUUCGACCAUGAUGUAAAUAUCCUCACCGGAUCAAUAACACCAGAAUCCCAUUAUGUCAUUCGGGAGACGAAUUAUCAAAAGGCUUGACAGAGUAUGAUAUUUUCGAGCAUCAAUCAUCACGAGGUCAUCAAGAACGGCACAGCGUGGUCAAGUGACGAUCGGGGUGCGCGGGCGAGCCGAGGAUAUGCGAACGAUGUAUGCGGGGAAUGCGACCGCGCAGGGAAAACAAUCCACAUACUACCAGCUUGCAAGAGAACGCAAAGAAACGGCAUCCCGACAGUGACCCUGGACCACGACUCUCACUAUGGGCCUCGAAGGCGGAAAUCGCUAGAAACUGUAACAUGACACCGCUCGCUUCCAAAAUCGAAGUCCCCGGAUGCGUUGCGUUCAAUUUGUCAGAGUUGUAAAGGACAUGAACAGAUAGCUGUAAAUGCUAGUGAAGGUGUGAUUGAUUAUUUACGGAUUUGUAUAUGCUAGAGCAACUGGCGAUUGUUUAGUAGGAUAAGCAACAAUUUAUUGCUAGAUAAUACAUGAUCUCUUGUUAUAUUAAUCCAAGUAAAUCGGAAUGAAUUAGUGCAUCUAUGGACAAGAUAUGUGGAUGUCCAGAUACCAUAGACAGG